rnacentral:rRNA from 1 species
UCUUCGGCAAUGGACGGAAGUCUGACCGAGCAACGCCGCGUGAGUGAGGAAGGCCUUCGGGUCGUAAAGCUCUGUUGCCAGGGAAGAAUGGUUUGGAGAGUCACUGCUCCAAGCGUGACGGUACCUGAGAAGAAAGCCCCGGCUAACUACGUGCCAGCAGCCGCGGUAAUACGUAGGGGGCAAGCGUUGUCCGGAAUUAUUGGGCGUAAAGCGCGCGCAGGCGGCUAUUUAAGUCUCAUGUUUAAACCCAAGGCUCAACCUUGGAUCGCAUGGGAAACUGGGUGGCUUGAGUGCAGAAGAGGAGAGCGGAAUUCCACGUGUAGCGGUGAAAUGCGUAGAGAUGUGGAGGAACACCAGUGGCGAAGGCGGCUCUCUGGUCUGUAACUGACGCUGAGGCGCGAAAGCGUGGGGAGCAAACAGG